rnacentral:rRNA from 1 species
GGGCCCGCACAAGCGGUGGAGUAUGUGGCUUAAUUCGAGGCAACGCGAAGAACCUUACCUGGUCUUGACAUGCCCGUCAUAGUUUUCCGAAAGGAAUUCGUCAGUUCGGCUGGACGGUGCACAGGUGCUGCAUGGCUGUCGUCAGCUCGUGUCGUGAGAUGUUCGGUUAAGUCCGGCAACGAGCGCAACCCUCGUUCCUAGUUGCCAGCGGGUAAUGCCGGGGACUCUAGGAAGACAAACCUCGUGUAGAGGUGGGAAGGUGGGGACGACGUCAAGUCAGUAUGGCCCUUACGACCAGGGCUGCACACGUGCUACAAUGCCCAGCACAAUGGGAUGCAACACCGCGAGUU